AUUGAACGCUGGCGGCAGGCCUAACACAUGCAAGUCGAACGGUAGCACAGAGAGCUUGCUCUCGGGUGACGAGUGGCGGACGGGUGAGUAAUGUCUGGGAAACUGCCCGAUGGAGGGGGAUAACUACUGGAAACGGUAGCUAAUACCGCAUAACGUCGCAAGACCAAAGUGGGGGACCUUCGGGCCUCACACCAUCGGAUGUGCCCAGAUGGGAUUAGCUAGUAGGUGGGGUAAUGGCUCACCUAGGCGACGAUCCCUAGCUGGACUGAGAGGAUAACCCGCCCAACUGGAACGGAGACACGGUCCAGACUCCUACGGGAGGCAGCAGUGGGGAAUAUUGCACAAUGGGCGCAAGCCUGAUGCAGCCAUGCCGGGGGUAUGAAGAAGGCCUUCGGGUUGUAAAGUACUUUCAGCGGGGAGGAAGGCGGUGAAGUAAUAGCUUCACCGAUUGACGUUACCCGCAGAAGAAGCACCGGCUAACUCCGUGCCAGCCGCCGCAGUAA
rnacentral:rRNA from 1 species